UGGCUCCGCCCGCCUAAGUACUUCCGCUCAAUUAGAAUUUCCCUUCAGUACUAGGUCUGGACCUGCUGUAUGUAAUUUGGUUUUCUGGUGCCGCCACAGCGGCCGCCAAUCAGCGAACAGAGGGCGUGUCUGAGAACAAUGACGAUAAAGUCGUACGCCAGUUUGAGUUGUUGUUGUAGGUCGGUAGUUGAUUUACAAUGUGCAAUUUUUCCCUGAUAAAUUAAAUUCGACGAACAAAACCUGCAGCUGUCGUUGACGGACAUUUUCGUGCAGACGCGCAAGGUGUUUGGUUUGUGUACAACCUGCGCGUGAUUCCCGGCGCAUGACAUACGUCACAACCAAACGUUAGCGAUUGGUUAUGGCAGAUCCAGAGUGGCACUGGGCAGAUCCAAUCAUUUUAAACUUCAACAGACACCCGCCUUCAAGUGAGUUAACGUUUGUCAAUUGAUUAGGUCCAGACUCUCUGUACAAAUGAAAUGAAAUGAAGUGAAGUACGAGAGUCUGGUAGAACCAGGCUAGGCCUGACGUGCGCCUCCCAAAAACGUUAACCUUGCGUUGAGGCGUCGCAGCAGCAAGGCCUGUGAUUGGUCCGCUCGCUAAAACCCGACGCACGACCAAAACAGGUUCGCGACUGCGUCGAAGCGACUGCGGGGGUCAUUGCGUUGCGUUUGACGUCCAACCGGUCGUCGGGCGUCGCCAUGCUGGUUAUUGUUGGGCUCACAGUCGCACGCGCCUGACUCCAAGCCAUGAGACCCCCCCCACCAGCCCGGGAGCUCCCUCUUGUACCCCUCCCGUCUCACCGCCACGCUCCCUGUUGUCUGACUGCUCAGAGGAAGGCUGCGCACACAACAGGCUGACGCACACGUGGGCGUGCGGGCGAACCAGUGUUUACGUCAGUGUGUGUGUGUGUGUGUGUGUGUGUGUGUCCUGCCGUGUCCCCCUGACCCUUGUCUGAUGAAGCCCGUCCCUCAUAAGCACUUUGUGAGGCCAGCCUCGGCACUGGCCGGUCCGAGAGACCCCUCAGAGAUUAGUGUUACCCUCCUGAAGAAUGUAACCCACACUGCGGGCAGUCAUCUGAGGUGAGGCGGGUUUAGAGGCGGGUUGAGCAGCGGGUGAGCCUGGGAUUAUAUUUAAUGAGGCCUUAGCAUGCUAUAGGGAUGUUAGGAACACUGCAGGGCUCAGCCCUAAACAUAGAAAUAAAGUUUUAACAAGAAGAUACAUCCAAACAGGUCAUUAUCUCAUUACCUUUAAGGCUGUGUCUCGGGAACGCAGCCCCUAACUGUAGUCUCUGCGGCUCCGGGCUACAGCUAUAUGUAGUCUGUGGUGAAAGAGACACCAGAUACACAUUCGCAUGACAUUUAAUUUACGAGUAAAGUUAUACUUUACAAGAAUGCCUUGCUGCACUCACUGUCAGAAAAUAUGAUAUAACAAAAGAGAGAAUCUUGUCUUUGAAGCAGAGAGACGGCCUCCACAUUAUGAACGAAGGCGGCUCGCUCCGUCGUUAGUUAAAGGGCCCGAGACACAUCGACCCUCCAAUGAAACGUUCCCUUAACAUAUCAGGUUGGAAUAAAUGUCAUAUUUGAGUGGUUCAGCGGGCCUGGGGAGUUAUUUAAACCAAACCCAAAUGUCCCAGCCAGCUCGUAAAGGACUCAGUAGGUCUUCAGAUAUUCAUGUGGAUCCGUUCUGCCCACACGUGAACUCUGCACGUUCGCUAGUAAAACGUAGAAUCAAUGGGAUGCUUUUAUAACGGGGGGGAAUCACAUGCCUUGACAGCAAAGAAUGUACGAAAAUAACUCCCCUCAAGAAAACACAGAGAGACGGGAAGUGGAAAUAUUUUUGAUGAUUAUAUAAUGAGCGAUAUGAGAUUUGCGUGCCAGAGUAGUAAGUGCUGUAGUAGAAGUACAAAAUAUGCUCACUUUCGGGGGUCCAAGGGUUUGGGAGGUUAUGGGGGUCAGAAGUUCUCAGGUUGGUGAGGCUGGGGGGUUAUGGAGGUCGGGGGGGCCGGGGUGAGUCAGAAGUUCUCAGGUCGAUGAGGGUGGGGGCACUGGGGGGGGUUAUGGGGUCCGGGGAUUCGGGGGGGGGGGGCUAGGGCGAGUCAAGUGCUCAGGUCGGUCGGGCUGGCCUCAGAAGGUGCUCUCUGCUCCUCAUCGUCAUGUGAACUCUUGUGUUCCCGUCAGAACCUCUCCCCCCUCCCCGCAGUGUGUCCCGUGUAAUGCAUGCAGACCAAGUAGUAUUGAACCCAAACGGCCCUGGGCCCCAGCGGAGCGGUGAAAUACAAACUACCCAAACUCUCACAGCAGGGCGCUGGAAAUACGGCAUUGAAUGACCCUCCCGGCGUUUAAAAAGCGCCUUCGCAGAAUUGAAUACUACUUGGCUGCCAAGUGAAAACUCAAUUUGUAUUCAUUUAUACAAGCGAGCACAUCUACAUAGCGCGGCUCCAAGCGAUCUCCCGGCGGCGGGAACCUCCUCCCGCUAAACGGGAAUUAGAAAUGUGCAACAAAGAGGGAGAUAAACGCACUUCAGUCCCUGAUAGAGUUCACUACACACAAGCACACAAUACACCACACACAAGGUUGCGAUACACUGCACACAGCCACACAAUACCCAACCACGCAAUUCAUUACAACAAGCAGCUGUGACCCGUUGCCCUGUUGUGUUUAAUUUGAAACCGAUGACAUCACAUCCCAGUCAUGUGACCCCCUGUGGACACGGGAAGCAUCGGGAAUGCAUUCUGGGACAUCCCAACACUUUUCCCAAAUUCCGUGCAGAACAUCGCCCCCCCUGGUGUCGGUGGCGGCACGUGGGACUGCAGAAUGCGCAUGCGCCCACCAGUCUGUGAAUGCUCGGCAUGUUUCAAACACCAGCAGAGAAACCGUUUGAAACGCAUGAAAUGAAAUUGUGUCGCAUCGCCUCAAACACAACGCAUAGAAGGAGAUCCCACGCCAACCUAUACUCUGUCUGUCUUCAAGCCCCUGCUGCAUCUGGUCCGAGGUCAGUCCUAGGUCAGCAUCUGGCCCUAGGUCAGCUUCUGGUCCCUGGUCAGCAUCUGGCCUUAGAUUCUAGGUCAGCGUCUAGUCCUAGGUCAGCGUCUGGUCCUAGGUCAGCAUUUGGCCCUAGUUUCAGCUUCUGGCCAUAGAUCAGAAUCUGGUCCUUGGUCUAGACUGAACUCUUUUUUUGUCUGUUUAAUUGCUUUUAUUCUUCUUUUUGUUCACUGACCAAUAUAAAAACAGGGAGGGAGGGAGGAAGAGUUUGAACGAUAUGUCAAUAACGUUGUUCAUUACUGUCACUUGUAAAUUUCCAAUGUUCACUUCUGGGGUUCUGCUUUUCCAUCCACCUCUUCAAAUGUUCAUGCGUCUGGGAUACUGGGCCCGAACAGUGGGCUACCAGUGACAUACCAGUAACAUACCACUAGCUGAUGACAGACGGACUCUCAGGUUGUAGUCAGUCAGUAGUUCUGUCUGUUAUCGAGGUUCCCCUGAUGUGCUCUGAGGACCGGGUCUAGAGAAGACUCGGGUGUAGAGAAGAGCUCAUUUCAUGGAGGUUUACGGAUUCACAGCCAAAGGGGGGAACUAACCCGGAGAUGAGCCUGUUCCUGGGGGUGAGGUGAGACUGCGGCGGAGGAGAAUACAGAGGUUUUGAUAAGGUGGUCUGAUGAACGCGGCUGCAUGCGGCCGUGAAGACUUACGAGAAAAGGAAUCGUCUGGUUUUCAAAAGCUGAAGUCAGGAGAUAUCUUUUUAUAUUUUUUUAAGCCCUACCGUUUCGUAAGAGCGGUGUUUUCCACACCAGCCGUUACAUUGAGUUGCAGGAACAUUCAUCCAGCCACAAUUGAACAUCUUUCAACGACAAAUGUGAUGUGUACGGGUUUUCAGCCCCGCCUCCGGACCAUUCCCAGUAGAGCUGAACCAACACUAGAAACCACCGCAAUGUCAACUGGGAUCAGAACUUGUGCUUUAGUUUCCUUUACAAUUUGUGGAUUCUUUUACAUUAUUUUUUUUUUUUUACAGAUGAAGUCACUUCUUGUAUAAAUGUAAAGCAAAUAAACAAUAUUCAGGAAUCAUACCCAUCAAACACCGCAGCGAAUCAAAGCAGGACUUGCAACUUCCUCAACAACUCUGGGUUAAGUAACACACAUCGGAAUCCUUCCGAAUAAUCGACUGUGAUCUUCUGUGUUCCACCACCCACACCUCCCUCACAACGCCCUCCUCCUCUCUGGAGCUACACCUCCACCCCCCCCCCCCCCCCCCUUACCCUGUGCUCCUCAGUCAUUUGUCUAGUGGGUGGUGUGAUGUCUGGUUUCAGUUUCUGUGUUCUGUGGGGUGGGCUUCUCACAACGGGUCCUGACAAUCAGCGUGUUUGUAAAUGUCAUAAGAAAAGUGGGAUUUUCAAAUCUUUGUUCAUGGUCAGGAUUUUAAAGGAAGAUAUUUUUAUGGUAAUUGUCGCUGGUCUAUUUUACUAUAUAUUUAUGUAAUAAAUAUGUGACUAAAUUUAUAUUUGAAUGUCUUGUUGGUCUGAUAUUGCUUUUGGACAAGCUUCUGCUUUGUGUAGGGCUCCUCCUGGAAACUUUCAAUUAAUUCGAUAAUAAAUUACCUCACUAAAUCAA